UACGUAGGUGACAAGCGUUGUCCGGAUUUACUGGGCGUAAAGAGCGCGCAGGCGGUCGUUCAAGUCGAGUGUGAAAGCCCCCGGCUCAACUGGGAGGGUCAUUCGAUACUGAUCGACUCGAAGGCAGGAGAGGGAAGUGGAAUUCCCGGUGUAGUGGUGAAAUGCGUAGAUAUCGGGAGGAACACCAGUGGCGAAGGCGACUACCUGGCCUGUUCUUGACGCUGAGGCGCGAA
rnacentral:rRNA from 1 species